CCCCUGCAAUGCGGGAAACCGUGACAGGGGGAUCCCAAGUGCUCAUGCAUUGCAUGGGCUGUUCUUUGGUCUAAGUAACCAGAGGAGUAAGGGCUGGGCAAGACCGGUGCCAGCCGCCGCGGUAAUACCGGCAGCUCAAGUGGUAGCCGCGAUUAUUGGGCCUAAAGCGUUCGUAGCCGGAUAAGUAAGUCUUUGGUUAAAUCCUACAACUCAACUGUGGGAAAUCUAGGGAUACUACUUGUCUUGAGACCGGGAGAGGUUAGAGGUGCUCCUAGGGUAGGGGUGAAAUCCUGUAAUCCUAGGGGGACCACCUGUGGCGAAGGCGUCUAACUGGAACGGGUCUGACGGUGAGGGACGAAACCUAGGGGAGCGAGCCGG
rnacentral:rRNA from 1 species